UGGGGAAUAUUGCACAAUGGGCGCAAGCCUGAUGCAGCCAUGCCGCGUGUGUGAAGAAGGCCUUCGGGUCGUAAAGCACUUUCAGCGAGGAGGAAGGUGGUGGACUUAAUACGUUCAUCAAUUGACGUUACUCGCAGAAGAAGCACCGGCUAACUCCGUGCCAGCAGCCGCGGUAAUACGGAGGGUGCAAGCGUUAAUCGGAAUUACUGGGCGUAAAGCGCACGCAGGCGGUUUGUUAAGUCAGNUGUGAAAUCCCCGGGCUCAACCUGGGAACUGCAUUUGAAACUGGCAAGCUAGAGUCUCGUAGAGGGGGGUAGAAUUCCAGGUGUAGCGGUGAAAUGCGUAGAGAUCUGGAGGAAUACCGGUGGCGAAGGCGGCCCCCCUGGACGAAGACUGACGCUCAGGUGCGAAAGCGUGGGGGCAGCAAACAGGAUUAGAUACCCUGGUAGUCCACGCUGUAAAACGAUGUCGAUUUGGAGGUUGUGCCC
rnacentral:rRNA from 1 species